AAGUAGUUUGAUUUAUUUAACAUAAUUGUGUUUGCAACACUGCCCUCUUUUGGUUAACCUGCAGCAGUACCUCUGGCUUAAGUUUCACUUUCAGUUAGUUGAGUGUGCCUCAGAGCAGAGUGCUGGUGUUGUUUUCUCUUGCUGCAAUUUCUUCCUUUUACAUUGUUGCCUUGGAUAUUAUUUGUCCUUUUACAGUGCAAUAAGAAAAGUAAAGUUUCUUCAUGGAACUCAAGAAAAGUUAUGCCUUGUGUUUUUUCUGGAGAACUUUACACUGUUAGCUAACUGUCAAGCUUUGAAGAAGCAACUCAUUGCAAGGACAGUAUAAUAUCCCUCGGGUCGGGAAUUCUAAACAGAUGGGGGUAAACACAGAGCAUUCCCUGCAAACCUGGAGGACCCUGAGCGCCAGAAAGACCAGCAGGCCCAACACCACCCUACAGAUGACAAGAAUUAUAUGAAUGAAUGAAUGGAUGAAUGAAUGAUGACUGCUCAGUCUAAUAUCACCCUGUGGUUUUCUGUUGAAACAGUACUUACUGUGCAAUGCUCUUACAAUACAAAACACAAGAUUUUCUAAGAUUCAUUGGUUUAUUGCUCAAGGACGAUUUCUGUUGUGAUUGUUCAGUUAAAGGGAUAGUUCACCAAAAAUGGAAAAUGAGCCUGUGGUUUACUCACCCUGAGAUACAUAUGACCAUCUUCUUUGAGUCGAAAAAUUUUAACCAAGUUACAUUAGAAAAUGUCCAGGCUCUUCCAAGCCUUUAAAGGGCGUUUUGCAGGUAAAAUUUUCAACGAAUUUGUGCAAUUUGCUUGUUAAUAAUAAACAUUUAAACUGUUAUCCAUUGUAUUUUAUGUUGUUGAGUAUCACAAAACCCGAAAAAGUAUGAAAAAGUACAGCGGUUUGCAAUGAUUCUCCUUUCCCCCACAACGCACUGUAUGACGUCACGCUGGGGAGAGAAUUUACCAAAGCAGCCUUGAGAGCAUUGAGAAUGACUAUAGAAAGACGAGUAAAGUACAGUUCUGAUAGCGCAGAUUAUUUACAUAGAUAGAUAGAUAGAUAGAUAGAUAGAUAGAUAGA